AACACAUGCAAGUCGAGGGGCAGCAUGAAGUUUGCUUGCAAACUUGAUGGCGACCGGCGCACGGGUGAGUAACGCGUAUCCAACUCCCUUAGUAGCGGAUAGCCGGCGAAAGUCGGAUUAAUACGCUAUGUUCUUCGUAGAGGACAUCUGAAAUGAAGCAAAGGUUUACCGCUAAGGGAUGGGGAUGCGUCUGAUUAGGCAGUAGGCGGGGUAACGGCCCACCUAGCCGACGAUCAGUAGGGGUUCUGAGAGGAAGGUCCCCCACAUUGGAACUGAGACACGGUCCAAACUCCUACGGGAGGCAGCAGUGAGGAAUAUUGGUCAAUGGGCGCGAGCCUGAACCAGCCAAGUAGCGUGCCAGGAUGACGGCCCUAUGGGUUGUAAACUGCUUUUAUACAGGGAUAAAGUGCGCCACGUGUGGUGUUUUGUAGGUACUGUAUGAAUAAGGACCGGCUAAUUCCGUGCCAGCAGCCGC
rnacentral:rRNA from 1 species